rnacentral:rRNA from 1 species
CCAAUAGCGUAUAUUAAAGUUGUUGCAGUUAAAAAGCUCGUAGUUGAAUUUCGGGGUCAGUAGGUUGGUCAUGCCACUGGUAUGUACUGGUCUCACUGAUUCCUCCUUCCUGAUGAGCCGUAAUGCCAUUAAUUUGGUGUUGCGAGGAAUCUGGACUGUUACUUUGAAAAAAUUAGAGUGUUUAAAGCAGGCUAACGCUUGAAUACAUUAGCAUGGAAUAAUGAAAUAGGACGUUUGAUUCUAUUUUGUUGGUUUCUAGGAUCGACGUAAUGAUUAAUAGGGAUAGUUGGGGGCAUUAGUAUUCAAUUGUCAGAGGUGAAAUUCUUGGAUUUAUUGAAGACUAACUACUGCGAAAGCAUUUGCCAAGGAUGUUUUCAUUAAUCAAGAACGAAAGUUAGGGGAUCGAAGACGAUCAGAUACCGUCGUAGUCUUAACCAUAAACUAUGCCGACUAGGGAUCGGAUGAUGUUAAUUUUUUAAUGACUCAUUCGGCGCCUUACG